UCGGAUCCGCUCCGACCAAGUAGCCUUCUUCUCCCUCUUUUACUUGAAACCUUUAAGUCGUUAUAUUCGCCGUUCUGAACUGAGUAAAACCCCUUUAACGAUUUCUGUAAAUUACAACUAGGGAGGUUUUAAUUUUGAAAUUAGGGUUUGGGGUUUGAAUUAUUUCUUGCUGUUGAUUUCAUUUUGAGUUGUCUGUUAGAAGGAAUCGAGGGUUUGUUGGGUUACGUUGAAAGUUUAUUUCGUCGGAGUUUUGAAUUUUCGUCUGGUUGGGAGGGCCGAUCCGGUUGUUUG
rnacentral:lncRNA from 1 species